rnacentral:rRNA from 1 species
CCUACGGGUGGCUGCAGUGGGGAAUAUUGGACAAUGGGCGAAAGCCUGAUCCAGCCAUGCCGCGUGUGUGAAGAAGGCCUUCGGGUUGUAAAGCACUUUCAGUGGGGAAGAAAGCCUUGGGGCUAAUACCCUCGAGGAAGGACAUCACCCACAAAAGAAGCACCGGCUAACUCCGUGCCAGCAGCCGCGGUAAUACGGAGGGUGCGAGCGUUAAUCGGAAUUACUGGGCGUAAAGCGCGCGUAGGCGGUCUGAUAAGCCGGUUGUGAAAGCCCCGGGCUCAACCUGGGAACGGCAUCCGGAACUGUCAGGCUAGAGUGCAGGAGAGGAAGGUAGAAUUCCCGGUGUAGCGGUGAAAUGCGUAGAGAUCGGGAGGAAUACCAGUGGCGAAGGCGGCCUUCUGGACUGACACUGACGCUGAGGUGCGAAAGCGUGGGUAGCAAACAGGAUUAGAUACCCUGGUAGUC